GGAUUUGUGGUUCAGCAGUAGAAUUCUUGCCUUCUAUAUGGGAGACCCAGGUUCCAUUCCUGGCCAAUACA
rnacentral:tRNA from 1 species